rnacentral:snoRNA from 1 species
CCCCUCUCAGGGCCACACCUGGAGAGUUUCCAGUACUCUACUAGUCUUGACUAUGGGAGGGAGAGUCAAGCAGAGGCCUGUCCAUUCCAUCCCAAUCCUAGCUUGGACAGUGGCUAGUGAAUGGAAGGCAAUCUGCUACAAGU